GAUGAACGCUAGCUAUAGGCUUAACACAUGCAAGUCGAGGGCCGGCGCACGGGUGAGUAACGCGUAAAGAACUUGCCUCACAGCUAGGGACAACAUUUGGAAACGAAUGCUAAUACCUGAUACUGUGAGAGAGCUUUGCGUCCCAUUAGCUAGUUGGAGAGGUAACGGCUCACCAAGGCGAUGAUGGGUAGCCGGCCUGAGAGGGUGAUCGGCCACAAGGGGACUGAGACACGGCCCUUACUCCUACGGGAGGCAGCAGUGGGGAAUAUUGGACAAUGGACCAAAGUCUGAUCCAGCAAUUCUGUGUGCACGAUGAAGUUUUCGGAAUGUAAAGUGCUUUCAGUUGGGAAGCGGUACCAACAGAAGAAGUGACGGCUAAAUACGUGCCAGCAGCGCGGUAAUUC
rnacentral:rRNA from 1 species